rnacentral:rRNA from 1 species
GGGAAAGCCUAGCGUGUGCCGGUAGAUUAGAGUUUGAUCCUGGCUCAGAUUGAACGCUGGCGGCAGGCCUAACACAUGCAAGUCGAGCGGUAACAUUUCUAGCUUGCUAGAAGAUGACGAGCGGCGGACGGGUGAGUAAUGCUUGGGAACAUGCCUUGAGGUGGGGGACAACAGUUGGAAACGACUGCUAAUACCGCAUAAUGUCUACGGACCAAAGGGGGCUUCGGCUCUCGCCUUUAGAUUGGCCCAAGUGGGAUUAGCUAGUUGGUGAGGUAAUGGCUCACCAAGGCGACGAUCCCUAGCUGGUUUGAGAGGAUGAUCAGCCACACUGGGACUGAGACACGGCCCAGACUCCUACGGGAGGCAGCAGCGGGGAAUAUUGCACAAUGGGCGCAAGCCUGAUGCAGCCAUGCCGCGUGUGUGAAGAAGGCCUUCGGGUUGUAAAGCACUUUCAGUCAGGAGGAAAGGUUAGUAGUUAAUACCUGCUAGCUGUGACGUUACUGACAGAAGAAGCACCGGCUAACUCCGUGCCAGCAGCCGCGGUAA